CCAAGCCAACCAGCGACAUGAUAUCCGCCAUCGCGGCUUCGGGCGAUUUCGAAUCCAGAAUGUCGCUGACCUCGACCAGGUGACCUGAGAACGCGAACGACCGGACGUCGGACACGACUUCGUUCAGGCUGUAGAUAAGCAGCAGGAAGAAGUCGGACACCUUGGCGACGGAGCCGCUGACGUCACAGAUGGCUACAAUCUUGGGUUUGUCGCGGG
rnacentral:misc_RNA from 1 species